rnacentral:lncRNA from 1 species
UCUUUUUCCCUUUUUAAAGAAAGAGUCUGAUUUCCCAGCCUUGGCAACAUAGCAAGACCUCAUUGCUACAAAAAAAAAAAAAAAAAAAGCCAGGUGUGGUGGCACACACAUUUAGCCCAGCUACUUGGAAGGCUGAGGUGGGAGGAUGGCCUGAGUCCAGGAAGGGGAGGACGCAGAGAGCUGUGAUUGAGCCACUGUAUUCCAGCCUGAGUGAUAGAGUGAAACCCUGUCUCAAAAAACAAGGUUUAUUCCUUUUCACCCCAAACUUGUCCCUGUCCCUCCCUCAUGACCUUCC